AUUAAAGAAAAUCUCAGAACAAAUUCAAUAACAAUUCCAGUAUAUAUGUAUAUAUUAUGACCACGGUAUAAAUUACAAUAACAAUAUAGAUAGAAUCGAACAUGCAUGAACAAAUGAACCACCACUUGUUUACGCGUGACCACUUUCACGAACUACACUCGAUAUCUGCAGAGCUUCUUCCAGUACAGAGUCGAUGUGGCAUUAUUCAAUCUGACAUAUGACUUGGAUGAACUAAGAUUCACAUGGUUCUUCUUCCGCACAAGGCUGCCUAGGCACGUGGAUCAUUCACCCCUUAGUAGACAUGCCCUUGGCGACUGAAAGAUGAAAAAGAAUGGAACUUUUAGUAUGCACGUCGGUAUUUUCGCAGCCCAUAUCAUGCAAAAUUCUAGUACGACCUAUGCAUAAACAUAGCAUUUUUUUUUAGCAUGAUCGAUCGAUCCACAGAUAGAAGCUGAUAUGAUAGUACCUAGGUUGACUCACCUGUCGCUUUACCACCAGUAGUACUACGCUCUUCAGCGGGCCUGAUGCUCUUGCUCUUGUUCUGGCCAGGAGUGGUCGUCUUCGACAACCCUUUAGCUGUUACAUCCAUGCAAAAGGCGUCAAGAAAGUGCAGAAGAAAGCAUUCAGAGACCAGAAACGUCAAGCAGAAAGGUGCUGGCUAGAAAGGUACAGAUCUGAUAAAAGGAAGCUAUCACAUCCAUGCAUGCACACAUCCGUAUGCUCGAGUACUGAUCUGAUGAGUGAUGCUCACUGACCUGUAGGCGGCGCGUUUUGCCCAGCCGGCUGCGCAGUAUACGCCGGGGCCGGAGACGGGACAGGAGGCCGUGCCGGCGGCCCUGGUUUGUUUGUCAUCGCUGCAGCUGCAUACAUGUAUGGUGAAUACGUUAACACAUCAGAAAAUUGUUGUAGAUUCUAGCUUGCUUCGACCAUGGAUGAUGGAUGAAUCGGAUAUGCUGAGGCUGCCGGCUCACCUUUCGGCGGCAUGUCGAGUCCUUGAGAUGGAGGGCCUUCGUCUCUGGGGGGUUUCCGGCUAGCUGCAAUAUUGAGAUGGCUGCUGAACGAUUGGCA
rnacentral:lncRNA from 1 species